GACGAACGCUGGCGGCGUGCCUAAUACAUGCAAGUAGAACGCUGAAGGAGGAGCUUGCUCUUCUGGAUGAGUUGCGAACGGGUGAGUAACGCGUAGGUAACCUGCCUGGUAGCGGGGGAUAACUAUUGGAAACGAUAGCUAAUACCGCAUAACAGUAGAUGUUGCAUGACAUUUACUUAAAAGGUGCAAUUGCAUCACUACCAGAUGGACCUGCGUUGUAUUAGCUAGUUGGUGGGGUAACGGCUCACCAAGGCGACGAUACAUAGCCGACCUGAGAGGGUGAUCGGCCACACUGGGACUGAGACACAGCCCAGACUCCUACGGGAGGCAGCAGUAGGGAAUCUUCGGCAAGGGACGGAAGUCUGACCGAGCAACGCCGCGUGAGUGAAGAAGGUUUUCGGAUCGUAAAGCUCUGUUGUAAGAGAAGAACGAGUGUGAGAGUGGAAAGUUCACACUGUGACGGUAUCUUACCAGAAAGGGACGGCUAACUACGUG
rnacentral:rRNA from 1 species